rnacentral:rRNA from 1 species
AAAAGAUUUAUCGGUGUGAGAUGGACCCGCGUCUGAUUAGCCAGUUGGCAGGGUAACGGCCUACCAAAGCGACGAUCAGUAGCCGGCCUGAGAGGGUGAACGGCCACAUUGGGACUGAGACACGGCCCAAACUCCUACGGGAGGCAGCAGUGGGGAAUAUUGCACAAUGGGGGAAACCCUGAUGCAGCGACGCCGCGUGAGUGAAGAAGUAUUUCGGUAUGUAAAGCUCUAUCAGCAGGGAAGAAAAUGACGGUACCUGACCAAGAAGCCCCGGCUAACUACGUGCCAGCAGCCGCGGUAAUACGUAGGGGGCAAGCGUUAUCCGGAUUUACUGGGUGUAAAGGGAGCGUAGACGGUGAUGCAAGUCAGAAGUGAAAGCCCGGGGCUCAACUCCGGGACUGCUUUUGAAACUGUGUAACUGGAGUGCAGGAGAGGUAAGCGGAAUUCCUGGUGUAGCGGUGAAAUGCGUAGAUAUCAGGAGGAACACCAGUGGCGAAGGCGGCUUACUGGACUGUAACUGACGUUGAGGCUCGAAAGCGUGGGGAGCAAACAGGAUUAGAUACCCUGGUAGUCCACGCCGUAAACGA